rnacentral:rRNA from 1 species
UUGACCUCGGAUCAGGUAGGGAUACCCGCUGAACUUAAGCAUACU